rnacentral:rRNA from 14 species
UUCUGUGACUAUACCACUCUAAAUGCAAUUUAUCUUGUCUAAUCUGGGAAGUUAGGCAGGGUUGGUCCUGGUUAGUACUUAGAUGGCUUUCCUAUUUGUGGAGUGGGAGCUUUCUGGAU